GCCUGGGUGGCUCAGUCGGUUGAGCAUCUGACUUUGGCUCAGGUCAUGAUCUCACAGUUCGUGGGUUCAAGCCCCACAUCAGGCU
rnacentral:tRNA from 1 species